GGUCAAUGAUGUGAUGGCAUGUAUUAGCUGAAUCCAAAGCUGAUGAAAAUCCUGAAAUUACCCUGAGACCUU
ensembl:snoRNA small nucleolar RNA, C/D box 45B